ACAAAUGGAAAGAUAUAUGGAGAUGGAGGAAACAAAGAUUUCCUCUAAUGUCCUCCAACCACACCCACACACACAAUUCAACCUCUUUCCACAAUUAACCCCUCUUUUUUUCCCUUCCAUAUAUGGGGUUUUAUCUAAGUACCCCAUCCACAUUAUCCCUCUUGAUAAAAUGGACCAACUAUUCUUCAAAGAUUUGAUUUUUUUGAUGUGGGUUUGAGUAUUCAUGAAAUUUUGGGGCUUUUUCCCUUGGUGGGUAUGUGCUAGUGAAUAGAGAUGAAAAGGUCUGUUGAGGGUUUCAAUGGAAUUAGUUUUGUUGAUGAAGAAGAAUCCAAGGUGGAGAAGCUAAACCAGAAAAAGCUGUUAAAUGAGUUAUUAGAACUGCAAAAGGAUUUUGUCUCCAAGAAGAGGAAGUUGCAGGCUGCAAAGCUGAAGAAAGAAAACAUUUUGGGUGAAAUCCUAUUCUUAAAGCAAAGGCGUAGAUACUUAUUGAAAAGCCAAUCUUCCGAUGACGAUAAUGAAAAGAACAUUUCACAUUUAAAAGAACACUUCGAUGCUGAGAGUGAAGUCCCUAAAGUAGAAAGAUCCAACAGUGGCUAUGAUGCAGUAGUAGAGUCAGCUCGUCCUGCCUUCACCUCAAAGUUCAACUCGGAACAUCAUGAAGUAGGAUACGAAGAACUGUUAGCAGGCGGGGACGUGUUAAGAAUGGAGUGUGUGCCAAAGAAUUACAAAGAAGAAACUCUCCUGGCAUGGUCAAGUCACAUUGAAGGUCUAAAAUUCUGAUAUAUCUUUCUUUAAGGAGAGUGAUCUCCAUAACUUAUCGAUAUCUUAUUCUUGAUUCCCUUUUCGCUUUCCUCCUUUGUUGCCACGGUGAAACACAUUAACUUGGAGUAUGCAAUAUCUGAGGUUGUCUAAUCUUUUUCUGGGCAUAA